ensembl:lncRNA
CAGCCUUGGUGACCGUGAAGGAGCACAGAGAUGGCUUCUCUCCUUGGCCUGAACUCGAUGAGGAUCCGGAGCCUUGAAAGUACACGCCCGUCCUCAGCCAGUCCAGACAAAUUGGGGGGAUCUUCCUGACCCAGGGAUCGAACCCAUGCCUCCUGCAUUGCAGGCGGGUUCUUUGCCACUGAGCCACCGUGACAGCCCCUUCCCUGCUGCUUGCUGUUGCUCUUGUUGUUUAGCUGCUAAGUACCACUUAGCACAACCCAAAGAGGAGGCCAGGGGAAGCAACAAGAGCACUCCACCCAAGCCUGUUCCAGUUACACACAGAAGAAAUUUUGCCCUGGGUCCAGGGCAGCCGGCUCAGCACGGUUGCUAGUGUCCCAGGUCUCCACUCAUGACUUUUAAGCUUCAACCUGCUGGUCUGCCUCUCACUGUCUCUGCACACUCCAAAGAAAGGCUACGGCCAAAGGCCCGAAUUUGCUGGCUUCGCUGGGACCAGACUGGUUAUCCAUUUUAAAUAAAGUAGUAUGUGUAUGUCUAUCUCAAACUUCCC